AUUGAACGCUGGCGGCAGGCCUAACACAUGCAAGUCGAACGAGUGGCGGACGGGUGAGUAAUGUCUGGGAGACUGCCCGAUGGAGGGGGAUAACUCCUGGAAACGGUAGCUAAUACCGCAUACCCUCUCAUGUGCCCCGAUGGGAUUAGCUAGUAGUUGGGGUAACGGCUCACCUAGGCGACGAUACCUAGCGGGUCUGAGAGGAUGACCAGCCACACUGGAACUGAGACACGGUCCAGACUCGUACGGGAGGCAGCAGUGGGGAAUAUUGCACAAUGGGCGCAAGCCUGAUGCAGCCAUGCCGCGUGUAUGAAGAAGGCCUUCGGGUUGUAAAGUACUUUCAGCGAGGAGGCGUUACUCGCAGAAGAAGCACCGGCUAACUCCGUGCCAGCAGCCGCGGUAAUAC
rnacentral:rRNA from 1 species